AGCACACCCAAUAGGCUCUGUGCACAAUCGUACUGACGAACUUCCGCUGUAGCCCAAAUUCGGCAAAUCAGUUUCCGUUUUACUGGAGGCGAUCACCCGCUUUGCCAAAAUGUCCGGCUUUAGUAGAUGUCUCCAAGACCUGCCUAAAAUAAGCGUCAGUGACGUCCAUCGCAUCGUAAAUGCUUGUUCCCCUGCUCCAACAAGCAAGCGGGACAAGGGAUUCAAACUUUACAUAUCCAGUUAUCUGCACAACUAUGAGGGUAAGUAAUUUAAUGUGGUGUUCCGGCCGGCUAGCGGCUAAGCUAGUUAGCGAUGUGUUAAUUUUUAGUGUAGUAUAGAAGCUUGUUUUUCUUUAUUUUAAACGCUAACUGUCCGUUUUUAUGUAUUAUCAUUUGUAUUUCUGCCCCUCUCAGUUUCUAAUAAAGAUCAGGACACAGGGGAAGUCGUGGUCAGGGCAUUGUGCUACAGGUCCAUGAGGAAAGCUGAGAAACCUCACAGUUUAAGUGUAUGGUGAAGUUAGGAUUGAUAAAUUCAAGUUCAGGUUCAGCCAACACUUAUAAGCUUGUUACUUUAAUAACCCGGCGUUCCUAAAGUUCCUGGGGAUUUAGCUAAGGUCAUUUACGUUUAUUAUAACUCUCAAAUAUAAUGAUCUUCAUUAGGCAGGUAAGUUUACCUAGCUGAUCCCCUCCGGGUUAAAUGUGUUCUUAUUCAAGUUUUCCCCAACUGUCAUUCAUUUAAGAUGCAAUCUUGUGUUUAAGGUAUUAGGCUAUCAUGUUUCAAAGAAAAACGAUUAUGGAUGUUGAUUUAAUGCAGUUGGCAUAUUAUACAACAUACACUAAUCCAACAUAUAGAAAUACAUGACAUUUGAUCUGUGAUUCUAGAAUAUUAGAUAUAGAAAAUAUUGUAAAAACAAGAUUGUGUCCUAAAAGAAUGGUUAAACAGUGACCAAGCUAAGAUAAAUAAGUAUUUACUAUGACAUUUUACUUACGCAGGUGGUACUGAAAGAUUCCAGUCCUGUGGAGCUGCUUCAUCACAGCUGCACAUGUGUUGCUGGAGCAGCUUUAUGCAACCACUGUGUCGCUCUGCUGUUCCAGUCAGCACAUUACUCUCAGCUGAAGGUGCCAGUGGUCCCUCCUGUGCUAAGCUGUACUGAAGGAGAACAGCAGUGGCACAAGCCCAGAACUUUGGGUGUAAAGCCAGGCCCUGUGGAUAAGAUGGCUGUGCUUUCUGCUAAACCAAAGUGUAGAGCAAAGAUGGUGUAAGGAGCACACUCUACAAAGGCCUCAGUGGGGAAUUGCCUGAUCUUACUGUCCUUCGGGUGACAGAGGCGUAUAAAGAUUUUUCUACAGCGGAGGCGCCGAUGAUCUGCAGCAUGAGCAUUAGCUGUGAAAUUCCCCUGGUUGACUCUGCCCUUGGCAAGGAUCAAGCCGGAAGUCCAUUGUCCUACCAACAACCAGCAACAGCAAAGAGAGAUCUGUCCUUCCAUGCUGCCCCACCACGUCCAUCUAUGCCUCUUCAGAAUUACUGCCUACAGCCAUCAAGUUGCAUGUUUGUCUGUACUGAACCACAACAGCUACACCAUAGGAGUCUGGAGGUCACCUGGGACAUGGUGCACAAAUUUGAAUGUGCUACCAGAGCACAAAGUUCAUGUACUGAAUGGCAUCAGCUAAGGAGGCAUAGAUUGACGGAGUCACGUUUCAGGGAGAUCUGCCUGGUUGGAGAGAACUCUGAAGAAGGUCUGGCUAACCGGAUACUGCAAGGGACACGUCAGACGGCAGCUAUGAAGAGGGGGCUCGAAUUAGAGGCAGAUGCUAUUUGGGAAUAUUGCCAAAUGAAAAGGGUCAACCACUACCCCUGUGGAUUGGUAAUUCAUCCUGACGCUCCUUGGCUGGGGGCGUCUCCAGACGGGUUAAUCUUUGACCCUUCAGAGCCAUGUCAGUUUGGGCUGAUUGAGAUGAAGUGCCCAAAUGUUAAAAGCUAUGUGGACUGCCCGUAUCUCAAAAUGAAGUCAGGCAAAUUGGAGCUAAAAGAAAAGCAUGCUUACUACUGGCAAGUACAGGGGCAGAUGCUAAUAACGGGAAUUAGUUGGUGUGAUUUUGUAGUCUCGGCUGAGGAAGAUGUACUCAUCCAAAGAAUUUACAGAGACAAUGAUGUUUUGGAUAUAAUCAGAGAGAAAGUAGACAGGUUUUAUUUUUAUGUCUACUUGCAGAAAUGUGUAAUGCUUCAGGAUUGAGAUAAAAUAAGAUCUGUUCUUUAAUUUUCACUUUUAAUGGUACGUUUUAUGAUUGAGAUUAUUUUAUGUUAAUGUUUGUGCAUCUUUAACUUUCAAUGGCAGAUGUUUUCCAUGAUUAACCUUGCCUUCCCAAAAAGUAAACACAAUAAAAUGUGUGUGUGCCGUGAGCACGCCAAGAAAUAUUUAUUAUCUUGAUAUUAAA